rnacentral:rRNA from 1 species
GAUGAACGCUAGCGGCGUGCUUAACACAUGCAAGUCGAGGGGCAGCGCAGUGUAGCAAUACACGGGUGGCGACCGGCGCACGGGUGCGUAACGCGUAUCCAACCUUCCCGAUACUCUUGGAUAGCCUUCCGAAAGGGAGAUUAAUACAAGAUGGUGUUUCACUUUCGCAUGUUAUUGAAACUAAAGAUUUAUCGGUAUCGGAUGGGGAUGCGUGACAUUAGAUAGUAGGCGGGGUAACGGCCCACCUAGUCUACGAUGUCUAGGGGUUCUGAGAGGAAGGUCCCCCACACUGGAACUGAGACACGGUCCAGACUCCUACGGGAGGCAGCAGUGAGGAGUAUUGGUCAAUGGUCGGAAGACUGAACCAGCCAAGUAGCGUGAAGGAUGAAGGUUCUAUGGAUUGUAAACUUCUUUUAUACGGGAAUAAAACCUCCCACGUGUGGGAGCUUGUAUGUACCGUAUGAAUAAGCAUCGGCUAACUCCGUG